GGAGUCCUAAUGUGACCGUCGUUUCACCUAGUUUUGACCGAACACUUAUGCCUUGGGAGCCUGAAGUUUCUAAAUGGCGCAAAAGCCACUUUAUGUGGACUUGUAAAGUUUAGAACAGGGCACCCACCUGCCGAGAGCGGGUUCAAAACAAUGGCAUUUCAACGACGGCACGAUUGGGACUCCU
rnacentral:other from 1 species